rnacentral:rRNA from 1 species
AACAAACGCUGGCGGCGUGCCUAACACAUGCAAGUCGUACGAGAAAGUUGGCUUCGGCCGAUGAGUAAAGUGGCGCACGGGUGAGUAACGCGUGGAUAAUCUACCCUUUAGUCUGGAAUAACUUACCGAAAGGUGAACUAAUACCGGAUAAUAUGCCGAUUUCCCCGGAGAUCGGGAUCAAAGAAGGCUUCUGUUUACAUGCUUUUGUCUGAAGGAUGAGUCCGCGUACCAUUAGCUAGUUGGUAGGGUAAUGGCCUACCAAGGUUAUGAUGGUUAGCUGGUCUGAGAGGAUGAUCAGCCACACUGGAACUGAGACACGGUCCAGACUCCUACGGGAGGCAGCAGUGAGGAAUAUUGCGCAAUGGGGGCAACCCUGACGCAGCAACGCCGCGUGAGUGAGGAAGGUUUUCGGAUUGUAAAGCUCUGUCGAGCGGAAAGAAAUGCAUUAUGGCUAAUAUCCAUAAUGCUUGACGGUACCGCUAAAGGAAGCACCGG